rnacentral:rRNA from 1 species
CCUACGGGUGGCAGCAGUGGGGAAUAUUGGUCAAUGGGGGAAACCCUGAACCAGCCAUGCCGCGUGGAUGAUGAAGGCCUUAGGGUUGUAAAAUCCUUUCACCGCUGAAGAUAAUGACGGUAAGCGGAGAAGAAGCCCCGGCUAAUUCCGUGCCAGCAGCCGCGGUAAUACGGAAGGGGCUAGCGUUGUUCGGAAUUACUGGGCGUAAAGCGCGCGUAGGCGGCCCGUUAAGUUGGGGGUGAAAGCCCGGAGCUCAACUCCGGAAUUGCCUUCAAAACUGGCGGGCUCGAGGCCGAGAGAGGUGAGUGGAAUUCCCAGUGUAGAGGUGAAAUUCGUAGAUAUUGGGAAGAACACCAGUGGCGAAGGCGGCUCACUGGCUCGGAUCUGACGCUGAGGCGCGAAAGCGUGGGGAGCAAACAGGAUUAGAUACCCUUGUAGUC